GGGGUUGUGACUCAGUGGUAGAGCGCUCACCUUGCACGUGAGAGACCCUGGGUUCAAUCCUCAGCACCACA
rnacentral:tRNA from 1 species